rnacentral:rRNA from 1 species
GACGAACGCUGGCGGCGUGCCUAAUACAUGCAAGUCGAGCGGACUGAUUAAGAGCUUGCUCUUAUGACGUUAGCGGCGGACGGGUGAGUAACACGUGGGCAACCUGCCCUGUAGAUCGGGAUAACACCGAGAAAUCGGUGCUAAUACCGGGUAAUAUCUGAGAUCACAUGAUCUUAGGUUAAAAGAUGGCUCCGGCUAUCACUACAGGAUGGGCCCGCGGCGCAUUAGCUAGUUGGUAAGGUAAUGGCUUACCAAGGCGACGAUGCGUAGCCGACCUGAGAGGGUGAUCGGCCACACUGGGACUGAGACGCGGCCCAGACUCCUACGGGAGGCAGCAGUAGGGAAUCUUCCGCAAUGGACGAAAGUCUGACGGAGCAACGCCGCGUGAGUGAUGAAGGGUUUCGGCUCGUAAAGCUCUGUUGUUAGGGAAGAAACAGUACCGAACGAACUAGGUCGGUACCUUGACGGUACCUAACCAGAAAGCCACGGCUAACUACGUG